rnacentral:rRNA from 1 species
GAGCAGAGGUGGCAACGUUGUUCGGAUUUACUGGGCGUAAAGGCGUGUGUAGGCGGCUUCGCAAGUUGGAUGAUGAAAUCCCACGGCUCAACCGUGGACGUGCAUCCAAAACUGCGUCGCUAGAGUCUCGGAGAGGAAGGUGGAAUGCUUGGUAGUAGAGGUGAAAUUCGUAGAUAUCAAGCAGAACACCUGCGGCGAAGGCGGCCUUCUGGGACGAUGACUGACGCUGAGACACGAAAGCGUGGGGAGCAAACAG